rnacentral:rRNA from 1 species
GACGAACGCUGGUGGCGUGCUUAACACAUGCAAGUCGAACGCUGAAGCUCAGCUUUUGUUGGGUGGAUGAGUGGCGAACGGGUGAGUAACACGUGAGUAACCUGCCCCCUUCUUUGGGAUAACGCCCGGAAACGGGUGCUAAUACUGGAUAUUCACUGGUCUUCGCAUGGGGGUUGGUGGAAAGGGUUUUUCUGGUGGGGGAUGGGCUCGCGGCCUAUCAGCUUGUUGGUGGGGUGAUGGCCUACCAAGGCUUUGACGGGUAGCCGGCCUGAGAGGGUGACCGGUCACAUUGGGACUGAGAUACGGCCCAGACUCCUACGGGAGGCAGCAGUGGGGAAUAUUGCACAAUGGGCGCAAGCCUGGUGCAGCGACGCCGCGUGAGGGAUGGAGGCCUUCGGGUUGUGAACCUCUUUCGCUCAUGGUCAAGCCGCAACAAUGGUUGUGGUGAGGGUAGUGGGUAAAGAAGCGCCGGCUAACUACGUG